rfam:Punica granatum cultivar Dabenzi scaffold171, whole genome shotgun sequence.
AUACUUACCUGGACGGGCUCCAAUGGGCGAUCAAGAAGGCUCAUGGGCUAGGCUUGGUGACCUUCAUUGCACUUGGAAGGGGUGCCAGCCUAAGGUCGGCCCAAGUGGUCGAGCCUACGUCAUAAUUUGUGGCAGUGGGGGCCUGCGUUCGCGCGGCCCCUAU